UUUGAUAUAAUAUUUUAGUUGUGGGUAACAUUUAUAAAUUUUGCAAAGUACGCAAGUUGUUAUAUAAUAUUCGAUUAGUCGGGGAAUAUUCAUUUUAACAGGGAAUAUUCGUACGACGGCACAAUCAUUGGUGGACCCCACAAUGGAAUUAUUGUCGGAUUGAGAAAACGAUAAAAAUAUCUUUUUAUGAAAAUAACGGCGGAAGUUUUACCGUUAACUAAUGAACUACUCG
rnacentral:lncRNA from 1 species